rnacentral:rRNA from 1 species
GUUCGAACGCCGUAGCAUACGGAGUGGCAGACGGGUGAGUAACAUGUGGGAACGUGCCUUUUGGUUCGGAACAACCCAGGGAAACUUGGGCUAAUACCGGAUAAGCCCUUCGGGGGAAAGAUUUAUCGCCAGAAGAUCGGCCCGCGUCUGAUUAGCUAGUUGGUGGGGUAACGGCCCACCAAGGCUACGAUCAGUAGCUGGUCUGAGAGGAUGAUCAGCCACACUGGGACUGAGACACGGCCAAGACUCCUACGGGAGGCAGCAGUUAGGAAUCUUGGACAAUGGGCGCAAGCCUGAUCCAGCCAUGCCGCGUGAGUGAUGAAGGCCUUAGGGUUGUAAAGCUCUUUCAGCGGGGAAGAUAAUGACGGUACCCGCAGAAGAAGCCCCGGCUAACUUCGUGCCAGCAGCCGCGGUAAUACGAAGGGGGCUAGCGUUGCUCGGAAUCACUGGGCGUAAAGCGCACGUAGGCGGAUUGUUAAGUCAGGGGUGAAAUCCUGGAGCUCAACUCCAGAACUGCCUUUGAUACUGGCGAUCUUGAGUCCGGGAGAGGUGAGUGGAACUCCGAGUGUAGAGGUGAAAUUCGUAGAUAUUCGGAAGAACACCAGUGGCGAAGGCGGCUCACUGGCCCGGUACUGACGCUGAUGUGCGAAAGCGUGGGGAGCAAACAGGAUUAGAUACCCUGGUAGUCCACGCCGUAAACGAUGGAUGCUAGCCGUUGGCG